CUGGGAAGGGUUACUUCAUGAUAUAAGGGGACAGUGGCUUAGCUAAGCAAUGAGCUCAGAGGAACAUUGUUGAUAGAGGCAGAGCUGGGAAUGGGCCUCGGGCUGGAGACCAGAGCCCAGACCCUUUUACAGUAAGUUGUGUGGUCUUCCGUGAUGGUCCAGGAUGGAGGUGUAAGUAGAAACCUCAGAACAGGGCAUAAACUAAGCAAAUUUCACUUGGCCUUUGAGGUAGCUAAGAAGAUUAAAGGCAAUUCAGAACAUGUGCGUCUGGGAUCAGUUUUUCUUCCUUAACUUACCUAUUGAGGUCAGUUGGUAGACUGAGCACAGGAGAACCAGACUUCGAAAAGUUAAACAUUAUGUGUAAGUGUUGAGCACACUGGCCAAGGAAGGGAGUAGCGCCCGCUAAUAACGGUUUUUCUGUUACCCCAGGACCGGGUCGCCUAAAUCCCAUGGUCUAAAUGUCGCCUUGGCUGAGGGUGGCUGAUGUCAAGUGGGGGUUAGUAAUUCCUCUUAGGUCACGGCUGACUCUUCUGAGUCCAGUUAUUUAAGAACAAUGCCGAGAGGCUUUGUACCUUUCACUAUCCGUAAACCAGACAUAACUAUUUUACUAAUUCUAAAACAAUGGGGACCCCGUUUCAGUUUCUUUCUAACCAGUGAACCCACUUGGCUUAAUGGCUUUAGAGGUUUUAUUGAGGGGGAGAAGUGGAAAAGAAUAUAGCCCAUUCUGUGAUUUUGAUAAAAACCUGUCCUAGGAAAUGUAGAUGUGACUGUACAUACCCAGUUGUAUAUAUAGCAUCAGGCAGUAAAGAUCCUUGAAGGCUUUCCAUAAGCUACAUUCUUAAACUCUCGAUGUAUAUUCAUUGUACCACAUUUUCUACUGAUGCUUUGAUCUCAUCUCUGUGGGAAAUCUGUCUAAAUUCACCCAUGAUUCCCUGAUUCCCAUCUUCCCAGACUAACAUUGUUCACACUACAUUAAUAUCCAAGACACGGUGUCUGUGAUUCUAGAAAAAUCUGUACGGUAUCCUGUAGCACAUGCUUAUGUCCUUGUAUUAAGAAACAUGAAGGAAAGUUCAGUGUAUAAGUGUGCAGUCUUUAGUUAUCCUGAGAUAGUAGCAAAUGGAAACAGUUUUCUUUUUCUGAAUUCUUUUCUGAAUUCAGAAUUUUAUUGGGUUCUUGGAUGGCAGAUACUUUUUCCUAUCAGUGAUCUAAAUAAUUUAAGAGUGAUGAGGCUGGUUAAACUUAUCCCUUAAAAACAUAGGGUGUGGAUUUAAAUACACAGAGCUAGCUAUAAAGAGUAUCAGGAGUUUCUCUAGUCUUUGAGAAUUAGAGAAUAUACAUAUGUGGGCUUAUUUUGUGUGUCAAGGUGGCCGUGUUAUACGGAUGCUCAUAAUAUUUUGGAAGUCGCUUAAAGAAAAGCAAUUGAGAGCCACGAAAAAAGCAAAAAACAAAACCACAAAAAAAAUCACCUCUCUCACCAAGCUUUUCUGAAAACUUGCUUAGUCUAGAUAAACCCACUGCAAAGAAAAAAAAAUGCAGCCUUUUCUUACUGGAAAAUAGGAGCAUGAUCAUAAUAUGGCCUUGACACCACCAGUCCAUGUGUUUCUCAUCCUGUGUUCGCUUUGUUUAAAUAAUCAUUCACUAUGUAAAAGUCUCCUUCCCUUGGCAAACAGUCUCCCGGGCUUCUGCACUCCAGUAGCAUUUUUGAAUGAUGAUGUAGUCCUUGGAAUAUGGGCCUGACUUUCCCAGUUGACUUUAACAUUAUCCUCGGGCAUUUUUGUACCCCUGAUUUUAAGCACAGUGACUUGUGUAUAGCAGGGGUAUUGGAUGAAUGAGUAAAGGGAUAAAUGUCUAUAAGAAGGGCCAAAAGAAAUCAGUCCCAUCAGAGAGCCAGAUGAAGGACUUCACUGUUUGUGAUAGAAAAUUAAAAUUCACUCUUGGUGAUGAUCCUUGGCAACUUUCAUAGAUGAAGACCUAUAAUAUAACUUGGUGGUUAUUACUGGGCACAAAUCCUUUCAUUCGUACUCACUAGCUGUGUGACCUUGAGCAAGUUACUUAACCAUUCUGUGCUUGAAUUUAGUCAUCUGAAAAAGAUGAUAAAAGUGUAUUUUUGCAUUGUAUUGGUUAUGUUACUGUAAUUAAAUGAGUCAAUAUUUGCAGCACCUUCCAUGUAAGAAGUGCUACAUAAGAGGGAGGUGUUACUGAUGCUGUUGUAAUGAUUGAGUCUGUGUAUUUGGGGGUGAAGAGGAAUGAAUGAGACAAAUCACAUGCUCUGUUCCACAUCCUAAAAUUCCAUGUGCAGGACAUGCUGGGAUCACGUGGAUGGGAAGAGUUAUAGCAAGAACCAGACUGACAUUAAGUUAAAAUACAAAUAACAAAAAACAAAACAAAACCAAGUACAAAUAACCACAGAUCCCUUUUAUUUUGCCUUUAAUCAAAUUUUACUAUUUCCAUACAGUAAAAAUCGGUUAAGCAAAGCCAUCUUCUUCUUCCUGGAAAAAAAUUACUUAUAAAUAAUCCCAAUAACCUGUGAUUCCCAUGAAUUGACUCGCAGUUUGGCAAGGAGCUGUUUGGAUGGAAGCAGUGGUUCCUUCUUUUCCAAGUCCUAGUCCUUCCAGGGUAGUGAGCUGGGUAGCAGAAGAGGCCCCUGAAUUCUUCCAGACGCCCAAGCUGCUGUCAAAUAGAGUCCCAGCAGGAGGGCCCUGGAGGACACUGUGGCCAGGAUGCACUGUUGCAUAAGGCUUGAAGACAGUGACUCCAAGUUUGCUGGUUUGGUUCCUGCGGAGACUGCCUGGCUUUCUCUGAAGCAGAAUGAUCUGGCAAAAAAACAAAAAGACAACCCAAAACAAAUAAACAAACAAAAAAAC